AGGGAGGGGCAGCGCCCUCGGGGCUCGGACCCGCCGGGGCUGCGGAUCCCGGCGCGGCUGAGCUGAGGGCUGGGCGCUGCCGCUUCUCGGCAGGACCUCUGGUGUGCGGAGCCUGUGCCCGCGGAACCCAAGCAGCCUGGGAGGCUAGACUGAGCGCGGUGGAAAGAAGGUUAGACUUGGUUACCCGGAUUCUGUUUUUAAUUCCCAGCAGUUGUCAAGGGGCUUUGCCGGCGGCAGCCAGUCACCAGCUGCCUUUUGCGCCGCUCCUCUUUCUGAGGGUCGCAGGCCCACCUUCUGUGAGUGCUUCCUGCUGAGCCCGGGUGGAGGGCAGGGCUCCAGCUGCCCCUACCUGGGUGUGACGGCCCCGGGCCUCAGCCCUCACUGCUCUCUCCGAGCGACCACAGUGGGAGCUGGGUAGCUGCUCACCGCCUUCGAGGGCCCAGGAGAAGGCAAAACCCAGACCCUAGGGUGGGCCUCUCCCACCCUGGCUCUGCCAUUGUUUGGCCACCUGAGGCUGACUGUUUCUCCCAGCCAGCAGCUUUUCUCCAGGCCACGGCGUUCGCAUCCGAACAGGAGAGCCGUCCCUGGUCAGCUCAGGGACAGUCCAGGGCCCGUGGCUGUCUAGGACCCAGCCAGCGCAGUAGCCUGGAGUCCAGGUCUGUCUCAUUGGCCACAGUCACGGAGGUGGCUGAGAGCUUUUUCGUUCCUCGCGUCCCCCUCCAAGCCCCCGCGUGCACUGACCCUGAAACUCACCGUCUGCUCCUUCGCGACACGUUUCUAUUUUCCACCAACCUUCUUUAUUGGAAACAUUCCGGUAAAGGUUUUUUAGGCUCCGGAGACUCUGAUGUGUUUGCAGUCCGUUCGUUUAUCAGGUAUACACACCCUCGGAGCACCCCUCACGCGCUGCUUGAUAUGCAAAGAAGAGGAGCUCCAGGUCCCAGGUCAGAGAGGGGCGUCACACAGUAAGUAGUCCAGGGGGCUGUUGCCCCAGUUUGGAGCUGGGACCCCUCCUGACUCAGGUAAGAUGUGUCCCUGGAGAUCUCUGAGCCUCGGGUAAGGUGGGCGCUUCGGGUCACCAAGUGGGCUCUGCCCCACUUAGGAGGGGGUGGGCUGUUGGUUUCCAAGUUUUUAGACUCAGUCUCCUGGUCGGAAGGUCCCCCAAGUAUUGGCUGCCCCUGUACCCUGAUGCCAAAUAGAAACACGGAGAUGGAGGUGGAAGACACAGAAAAAGGAGCUUGAAUUUCCAGGCAAAGAGGGGACUUCAAGGACUGGGACCCCCCACCUGCAGGAGGUGGUGCAGUCUUGGCGUGUUCAAGGAUGGGCGACUUCUUAAUGAUGCCAUCCGGCCCAGCGUGAGGUGGUACCUCAUUGUAGUUUUGAUUUGCAUGUCCCUAAUAAUUAGUGAUGUUGAGCAUUUUGGCAUGUGCCUGUUGGCCAUCUGUAUGUUUUCUUUGGAGAACAGGCUAUUCAUUUAUUUGUAGGUAUUUAAUUUUGAGGGAUGUGAUUUGUGUUAUUUUAUUUUUUUGCUUUUUAGGGCUGCAUUGUGGCAUAGGGAGGUUCCCAGGCUAGGGGUUGAAUCAGGAGCUGUAGCCACAGCCACAGCAAUGCUAGAUCUGGCCCGCGUCUGCAACCUACACCACAGCUCACGGCAACGCCGGAUCGUUAACCCACUGAGCAAGGGCAGGGAUCGAACCCGCAACCUCAUGGUUCCUAGUCGGAUUCGUUAACCACUGCGCCACGAUGGGAACUCCCAGGUGUUGUAUUUUUAUAUUCCUUUUCUAAUAUUUCAUUGUCAGUAUACAGAAAGGCAGCUUAUUUCUGCAUGUUAACCUUGUGUCCUGCUACUUUGCUGAAUUCCUUGAUCAGUUCGAGUCGUUUUCGUGUGGAGUCCUUAGGGUUUUCUAUGUAUAGUGUCAUGUCAUCUGCACGGAGAGACACUUUCACCUCUUCUCUUCCAAUGUGGAUACCUUUUAUUUCUUUUGUUUGUCUGACUGCUGUGGUUAUGACUUUCAAUAUUAUGUUAAAUAAAAGUGGUGUGAGUGGGCAUCCUUGUCUUGUCUUGUUUGAGAUUUUAGCAGGAAGUCUUUCGGCUUUUCUCUGAGUUUUUUUUUUUUUUUUUUUUUUUUGGGCCACUCCCACGGCAUAUGGAGGUUCCCAGGCUAGGGGGUCUAAUCGGAGCCGUAGCCGCCAGCCUAUGCCAGAGCCACAGCAGCGCAGGGUCCAAGGCGAGUCUGCACCACAGCUCACGGCAACGCCGGAUCCUUAACCCACUGAGCGAGGCCAGGGAUCAAACCACAGCCUCAUGUUCCUAGUCGGGUUCGUUUCUGCUGCGCCAUAGUGGAAACUCCAUAAACGACUCGUUAUGUGAAGGUAUGUUCCCUCUAUACCCGCUUUGGCCAGAGUUUCUAUCAUGAAUUGAUGAUGGAUUUUGUCAAAGGCUUUUUCUCCAUCUAUUGAGAUGACCAUUGGUUUUUUAGUAGCAGGUCGUUUAGUCUCCAUGUAGUCAGUUUUUUCUCAUUUCUUUUCUUGUGGUUGAUUUCUAGUUUCAUGCCACUGUGCUCAGAGAAGAUACUUGAAAUGAUUUCUGUAGUCUUAGAUUUGUUGAGGUGAGUUUUGUGCCCAGUAUGGGGUCAGUGAGAAUAUUCCACGUGCACUUGGAAAGAAUGUAGAUUCUGAUUUUUGGGAAUGUCAGGCCCUGAAAAUGUCAGUUAGGUCUGACUUUUCUGUUGUGUCGUUUAGAAUCUGUUGCCUUACUGAUUUUCUUUCUAGAAGGUCUGUCCGAAGAUGUGAGCGGGGUGUUAAAGUCUCCUACUGUGAUUGUGCUCCCGUGGAUUCCUCCUUUUACGGCUGUUAGUAUUUGCCGUAUGUAUCUGGGCGCUCCUAUGUCAGGGGCGUGUAUAACGACGAUUGUAAUGGAUCCUUUUAUCAUUAAUAGUGUCCCUCUUUGUCCUUCUUUGCGGCCUUGGUUUUAAAGUCUGUACAUCUGAUUCGAGUAUUGCAACCCCUGCUUUCCCGUCUUCCAUAUUCACAUGAACUAUCUUUUUCCGUCCCCUCACUUUGAAUUUAUGUGUCCUUGCCCUAAGCAGAGUCUCUUGGAGACAGCAGAUUGCAGGCUCUUGUUUCUUUAUCCAGUCUGCCACUCUGCGUCUUUUGACUGGAGCAUUCAGUCCAUUGACAUUUAAGGUAAUUACUGAUAAAUAUGUAUUUAUUGCCAUUUUAAAGCUUGUUUUUUCCAGUUGAUUUUGUUUCUCCUUUGUUCCUUUCUCUCUUUUUGGUUGGAUGAUUUCCUUUUAUUUUAGGCUUGUGCCCUCUUCUUCUUUUUUUUUUUUUUUU
rnacentral:lncRNA from 1 species